rnacentral:rRNA from 1 species
CCUACGGGUGGCAGCAGUGAGGAAUAUUGGUCAAUGGACGCGAGUCUGAACCAGCCAAGCCGCGUGAAGGAUGACUGCCCUAUGGGUUGUAAACUUCUUUUAUAUGGGAAUAAAACGCGCCACGUGUGGGGUUUUGUAUGUAUCGUACGAAUAAGGAUCGGCUAACUCCGUGCCAGCAGCCACGGUAAUACGGAGGAUGCGAGCGUUAUACGGAUUUAUUGGGUUUAAAGGGUGCGUAGGUGGUUUGUUAAGUUAGUGGUGAAAGUUUGGGGCUAAAACGCCGUACUGCAUUUGAUACUGGCGGUCUUGAGUACAGUAGAGGUAGGCGGAAUGCAUGGUGUAGCGGUGAAAUGCAUAGAUAUCACGAAGAACCCCGAUUGCGAAGGCAGUUUACUAGACUACGACUGACGCUGAGGCACGAAAGCGUGGGUAGCAAACAGGAUUAGAUACCCUAGUAGUC